UAGGGAAUCUUCGGCAAUGGACGAAAGUCUGACCGAGCAACGCCGCGUGAGUGAAGAAGGCUUUCGGAUCGUAAAACUCUGUUGGUAGAGAAGAACGUUGGUGAGAGUGGAAAGCUCAUCAAGUGACGGUAACUACCCAGAAAGGGACGGCUAACUACGUGCCA
rnacentral:rRNA from 1 species